UCCUCGGUAGCUCAGUUGGUAGAAGCACCGCACUGUUAAUGCGGAUGUCCCUGGUUCGAGCCCAGGUCGAGGAGCCA
rnacentral:tRNA from 1 species